rnacentral:rRNA from 1 species
UCUGGUGACUAUAGCAAGGAGGUCACACCUGUUCCCAUGCCGAACACAGAAGUUAAGCUCCUUAGCGUCGAUGGUAGUCGAACUUACUUUCCGCUAGAGUAGAACGUUGCCAGGC